rfam:Dichanthelium oligosanthes cultivar Kellogg 1175 unplaced genomic scaffold Do_version_2_scaffold1267, whole genome shotgun sequence.
UUGCAAUGAUGAGACAUUAACCUUUUGAGAGCAGACCGCUGCUUGAUGAACCUGGUAAAUAAUCUUCAUUAUUUCCUCCUGAGCGGUUACCUGAGCAA